UACGUAGGGGGCAAGCGUUGUCCGGAAUCAUUGGGCGUAAAGAGCGUGUAGGCGGCCAGGUAGGUCUGCUGUGAAAACUCGAGGCUUAACCUCGAGCUGUCGGCGGAAACCAUCUGGCUAGAGUCCGGAAGAGGAGAAUGGAAUUCCCGGUGUAGCGGUGAAAUGCGCAGAUAUCGGGAGGAACACCAAUUGCGAAGGCAGCUCGCUACACUAUUAUUGACACUGAGGCACGAAAGCGUGGGGAUCAAACAGG
rnacentral:rRNA from 1 species